GUGCACGCUGGCGGUAGGCCUAACACCUGCAAGUCGCACGGCAGCACAGUAAGAGCUUGCUCUUACGGGUGGCGAGUGGCGGACGGGUGAGGAAUACAUCGGAAUCUACUUUUUCGUGGGGGAUAACGUAGGGAAACUUACGCUAAUACCGCAUACGACCUACGGGUGAAAGCAGGGGAUCUUCGGACCUUGCGCGAUUGAAUGAGCCGAUGUCGGAUUAGCUAGUUGGCGGGGUACAGGCCCACCAAGACGACGAUCCGUAGCUGGUCUGAGAGGAUGAUCAGCCACACUGGAACUGAGACACGGUCCAGACUCCUACGGGAGGCAGCAGUGGGGAAUAUUGGACAAUGGGCGCAAGCCUGAUCCAGCCAUACCGCGUGGGUGAAGAAGGCCUUCGGGUUGUAAAGCCCUUUUGUUGGGAAAGAAAAGCAGCAGGUUAAUACCCCGCUGUUCUGACGGUACCCAAAGAAUAAGCACCGGCUAACUUCGUG
rnacentral:rRNA from 1 species